AAGUCGUAACAAGGUUUCCGUAGGUGAACCUGCGGAAGGAUCAUUAUCGUGAAUCCACACGUAUUUACUUUUUGUGAAUUGUCUAAUUGUUGUUUGUUUUUUUGUUUGGAUGAGAUGGAUGGUCGAUUUCAUUAUUGAUCAUUCGUUUCAAACAAACACACAAACAAACACAAUACAUUUAAACUAUUAACCACUUGUAACCUUUUAAUUGUACUGAACAAAAUAAACUCGUUUUUUCUCUGUCUUCGGAUACGAACAAGACAAGUUUACGAUACGAAAUUGCUGAACUACUCUUAGCAACGGAUAUCUUGGUUCUC
rnacentral:misc_RNA from 1 species